CCAGACAUCGAUUGGUUCACUUAUCCUUCACUCCGCGAGACAGGCGAGACUGCAGGGCUCUGGAGCGCGUUUUUGAAUUUGUAGCGCGUAUAGAGUCCGUGAGGUACCUUGUGGAGUUCGUGCUGUGGCUGGAGCCAGCUACUCAGGGUGAACUCUGAAGUCCUGAGCUAUGGCAGAACUCAAGCCCCUCAAGUCACAUAGAAAUCUACCCAUCAAACACUGGAUUGCCAUAGAGAUCGUACCCCAUAUCCUGGAGAAAGGACUGCUGCACAGAGAAGCCAAAAAGAACAGACAGCCUCAGUGGAUUAGCAACCAUGUCUAUGCAGCGGUGUCUCCACAAAAACCCUAAAAGGUGCCAGGUAAAAAGAUCAGAGCUACAAAAUAAUUGACUAAUUACUUCAAAAGUGACAACAUCCCUCUUCAAAAUGAAAGGACAAAAACAAACACAUACAAAAAGCGCCUGCCCCUGGCUCAGCGCCCGGUGCCAACAGAACACCUUUCAGGAUUCACAGCAGCGCAGACAACACCUUUAUGCUCGCUUCUCUACAUUCUUCAGAGCUGUAAAAUUGGCAUCUUUCCCUGAGGUUUUCCGAAAGAAGUCCAGGAUCCCGGCCUCUGAUUGGAACAGAACAGUGUCAUGGCGGAGACGACGGCCUUUGUCUUGCUGGAUGUGAAAACAUCCGCUGUGCUGGCUCCACUGCGGCAGAAUCAAGUUUAAAGGAAAAAAAGUGAUUAAAGUCAGCUUUGUGCCUCUUUGGUGUGGAAGACCCACAGACCUCAAGUAGCCGACUCCCAGGUCCGAGGAAGGGCUCAUAGUUGGAGCAGCCUAGGCUGUAAUCCUGGCACUGGCGCCUUCGGUUGCUGCUUGCUGUUCGCUCCUGGGGGUCUGGAUAAUCUCCCUUGGCUUUACCGCACUGUCUGGCCCGCAUACAGGGCCCCGUAACAUAUACCCGCUCCUGCUAUCACACGAAACUGUGGCGUUGCCCCUGAAUGGAUGGCACCGUGCCAACUCUUCUGCCAUCCGCCCUUGCAGCUUUUUUCUUUCCUCCCUCCCUCCCCUUCUUCUCCUCCUCCCGUCGACUUGACGUUAAUUAACACACGGGUUAAUUGAUUUUAAAAGCCGAAGAAUUACAGUUAACUUUUCCCACAGGGUACAGACGCCAGCCGCUUGGCACACUCUGCCUUUCGCACUAGUUAGUGCAGGGGGGCAGGGAAAGCCCACAGCAAAACUAGCAACUGCUGAAGGAACGUUGCUUGCUUAUUGGAGUAGAGCCGACAGAAGUCGACGUGGCACUGCCUCAUCCUUUGCAAUAUAUGUAGCCAUUAUAUAUUUUGCUAAAUAAUCAAAACAGAACCCUAGCUUUCUUCUCCCUUCCUCUUUCAAAAUGGGAAAACCUUUCUGAAGUUCACUUAGAGGGGGGGAAAAACCCUCCCCAGGACCAUUUAUCUCAUCUAUAAUAUGCUUUUUUUCCCCAGCAUCAUGAAAAUAACCAGUGCCUUUUAAUUUUUUAAUCUUUAUAUAUUUAUUUUUUAGUUUGAAAAAAGGAAGUCUCUCCCUUCCUUUAAUAUUACUGGCAUAGGAGAUUAUUAUUUUAAAGAAAAAGUUCCAUGAAGUUUUUUUCUAUACCUGAGUGUUUUGUUUGGUUUCCAUUCCUCUUGACCUAAAUGGGUUAUUUAUUGUAAAAGAUUACAG
rnacentral:lncRNA from 1 species